ensembl:lncRNA
CUUUGGUGUUCCAGAUUUACAUUUACUAUGCUAUGUCUAGUCUAUGAGACCAGGCUGGACGGUUGAUCCCAUUGAACUCAGUUGUUUAUCUCUCUGAUAUCUUUGCAUUCAGAGAUAGGCAUUGGUUGAUGGCUUAGAAAGGCCUCUGAUGCUUGAACUCAAAAUGUCCCCAGAAGAAACCAAGCAACGAGAACACAUCAGGAAGUGACUUUGAUUGUGAAUCAGCAGUCCUUUUAGGUCUCAUAAACUAGACGAUGAUUGCUCCCUUCCUGAUUACAGAGAAAGAGAGAGAAAGAAGCGUUGAUCAUUGAAUCAGAGGAGAAUUUUCUCCUUCAGAACUGAAGACAUUUGGGCUGAUAACAAAGCUCUUAACUAGCAGAACAGGAAACAGCCUUUCCGCAUUCCAUGGGGGCAAAACCUUUUGUGCCCCCAGUCCUUGUGCCACUUAGAGAAGUCCCUGUAAGCAGGCAUAUACACAGUAGAAGUGAAAUGUUAGUUGGCUUGCUUUUCUAGCCAUUUCAUUUUUUACCUUGGAUUACAGACACAGCGGUUAGUAAGGGAGCAGUCAUGGAGAGGAGGGCCCCAAACUACUCCAAAUGGGCGGAAAGGCGAUCCACUGUGGUUUAUGCAAUGCGCUCUGCCACAUUCGGCUCGUGGAGGAUGCUGACUUUGGGCACGGAAUACAGCUCAUGGGCCCAGUCUCCUGAAAGCCUUCGUCAACGACAGGCAGUGAUAAGCGAGAAUGCUGAAGAAACGGACAGCAUCGACAUUGACCCGUCAUGGAGAGAGCAGCAGAUGGACGUUCCUCAACAGUAUGAUGCCAUCCUGCACCUUGACGAGAGAGCAGCUUCAGGAGGGAGUCGUGGUAAUCAUAACAUCAUUCGUACACACGAAGCCCUCAAUAGCACGCCAUGGUCCAAGUCUAACAGGUAAAGUCGAUAGUUUGGUAUUUUAAAUAGAAAUUCUGCACCAAUAUUAACAUUUAAAAGCCUGUGAUAUUCAAUGAAGUUCCCUUUAAUAUAGACCACAUAGAGAAUUCAAUAAAUCAGAUUUGUUAUAUAAAUACAGAUUUGCUAAAGUGCCAAAAUUCAGCAUUUUGACAUGUCCCUCUGUGACUUCCAGGAACAUUUUAACCCAAGUAACCACAACAUUUCUCAACGUUUUAACCAUCAUUGUAAAGCACUAGUUAUUUCUGAAGAUUGUUUCAUGUAAUUAGUGAUCCAUAAACAAUUUUAAUAGUAAUAAUGUUGAUCAUUCUGUUCGUUUUAAUAUGGUGAAACUAUUCCUUUUUAAAUAAUAAUAACAUUAAUACUUCAAAUCAUAGUGUAAAAGCAGUUGAGAUGGUUCUACUAUUUUUUUGGCAAUUUUCUAGUGUUUUGUGGUGGAAAACUGAGUGAGUCGAGCAUAACACAUCAACCUUGAUAGACAGGCUAGAAAUGUUUAACAAAUUCAAUUGCCACUCUGUUGUUGCACACUACAAGCUUCCAUUUCCCCUGUCACAAGGGGAUUUCUGCCUGAUUUAAGAUGAAUCAUCCACCCUGUUACAGCUGUCAACCCUGUUAGUUUAUUUUCCACUUAAUAGGCACUUUUAAUAGUACAUUUUUUUACUCUCUGGGAAAACGUGUUUUUUAUCAAGUUAAACAUGAGCUCUUUAUGACAAAAUGUUAAAAUUAGAUUAAAUAAAGUAUUUGCCACCAAGUUAAACAUCUCAAAAUGAAACGAAUUGAUAGAACAAGUCGAAUGACCCAGUAAUGGUAUUCUCAGGCUAGGCUAGCGCAAUGACCUGAGGAAGAUUAACACUUUUGACAACUUUGAUAUAGAGGCUUUCUUCCCAGUAGCGUUUGUGUGAGGGAUAAUUGGUCUCUAAUAUCACUGAAAAGGUUACUUAUUAAUUUGCAUUUUCAUUCUGUUGCAAUACAUAAUUGCAGCCACCAGAGGGAUUAAAACCUUACUCAACUCCUCUAGAUAUCUACAAAUCAAACACAGGCCAUGAGUUAUUAGGCACUAUUACGCACAGGCAUUUCUCAAAGUUUCUUUCUAUCAACCUAAGAGGCUGUUCUGUUGGAUUGAUUGCAACAUUGAGCUUAUACCAUACCAUCAAUUGCUCUCUUACAUAGAUGAGGUCAAUCACAUUCAAUAAAUGUAUAGUAGAGGCUGGUGGGAGGAGCUAUAGGAGGAUGGGCUCAUUGGAAUGAGUCAUUGGAAUGUAAUUACUGGAACGGUGUCAAACCUGUGGUUUCCAUGUUUGAUACCUUUCCAUUUAUUCCAUUACGUCCUCCUAUAGCUUCUCCCACCAGUCUGAUGUAUAGGCUAUGAAAACCUGAAUUCCAGUGGUCCUUGAGGAUAGUAAGUGACAGUGAUGCCAAGCCGGCACAGAGGGAGAUAAGCUCCUAAACCAGGGGGCAUCCAAGCAGCUCAAACAGGGUGUUUGGCUCAGGGGGACAGACCGACCAUGGUUGCACAGAAAGACCCGCCAGGCCACUGCCAUCCCACCCACAGUCCCUAGUUGGGAAACACAGGACGACUUCCUAGGGAAUAUCUUCAGCAGUGAGCUGGUGGGGGAGGCUCAUCUCCAUUCAGUCCUGGAGUGGCUUAGCCAGUCUCCAGAUCUCAACCCCAUAGAAAAUCUUUGGAGGGAGUUGAAAGUCUGUGUUGCCCAGCAACAGCCCCAAAACAUCACUGCUCUAGAGGAGAUCUGCAUGGAGGAAUGGGCUAAAAUACCAGCAACAGUGUGUGAAGACUUACAGAAAAUGUUUGACCUCUGUCAUUGCCAACAAAGGGUAUGUAACAAAGUAUUGAGAUAAACUUUUGUUAUUGACCAAAUACUUAUUUUUUCCACCAUAAUAUGCAAAUAAAUUCAUUAAAAAUCCUACAAUGUGAUUUUCUGGAUUUGUUUUCCUCAUUUUGUCUGUCAAGGUUGAAGUGUACCUAUGAUGAAAAUUACAGGCCUCUCUCAUCUUUUUAAGUGGGAGAACGUGCACAAUUGGUGGCUGACUAAAUACUUUUGCCCC